GAGGCGAGAGGAGAAGAUUCUAGUCAGGUGACAGAGCAGAAACCCAUCACAUCAUCGUCCUCAAAGGCAGCUUCUGGCCUCCACUGGGCCUGAGUUGGCAGAAGGCCAAGUAUCAACUUCGAUCAACUUUCAAGCAUUGACUCUUCCUCGAAACUGGACACUGGCAUCAUUACACUGACAUGGUGUGUUAUGAUUGAAGAGUGAUGAGAAGACAUGAGGUCUGCUGACGCUUUCAUCCAAAGUUAACCAUUAAGGAACCUCAGUAAGGAAAUUUAAGUAAAGGGUAAAUAAUGUUACCCUACAUCAUAAUGUUUUGAUUUUGCAUUUAUGUGGGUCCUGGACCUGGUUGCUCCCUGGUCCCUUUCUUCUGCCUUCUUCCACUUUGUUCAGCAUCUCAGAAUUCCAAGAUGGCUGUCAAAUCUCCAGCCACCGUGUAUAUGCUCUGUACUAUCUCCUCCCCCUGAGUGGGAGUGGAUUUGUCCUGUUGUCCAAGACUCUGCCUUAGGAGAUGGGAGGGAGACUGUCCUGCUGGUUUGCAAGAAGGAAGCUCCCAUGCUGGGAGAGCCAGAUGGCUACGGCCUGCAUGUGACUUCGAGGGGCCUUUUUCAACUCCAAAGCGGGUGAGAAAACUCAGUCCUACAACCACAGGAGAUUAAUUCUGUCAACAACCCGGAUGAGUGUGGAAGAGGACCAGAGCCUCACAUGAGACCACAGCCCCAGCGAACACCUUGAUUUCAACAAGCGAGACCCUGAGGGGAAGACCCAGCUCAUUCAUGCUUGGAUCCUUACCGAGGGACAGGAUGACAUAAUGACAUGAUCUCCAAUAUAGGAAAUCCUACAGUCUACAAAGAAGACUCUAGAACUACAGGAGAAGCUACCUGAUGAAAAAGGAAUCAUUCAGGUUCUUCACGGGGGAACUGGGUGCACAGUCAGGGCUGAGAACGUUCUAGAGUUUACCAUCUACAGCCAAUACAGUUCGGAUGGGAUGAUCGUUUAGGGGUUAAGAAAAUAAACGAAGAUGUGCAC